AUAUGGGACAACUGAACUGAAGAAAGCUCAGAAAAGAAAUAUGACGCCUACGUAGGCAUCACCGUAUAUGCUACUGGGGCUUCAUGACGCCUACAUAGGCGUCACCGUAUUCGAAAUCCUUUCGCUGUAAAUCCUGAUGAGACACCAGAGGAUAUUCAGUUAGAACUAAUUGAUCUUCAGUGUAAUUCUGCGUUGAAGGAAAAGUUCUCAAGUGUUGAUAUUGGUACAUUCUAUCAAUAUGUUGGGCCAAGAUAUCCUCGAAUCAAAUGUUUGACUUCAAAGAUUAUGUCAAUGCUCAGCAGUACCUAUGUCUGUGAGCAACUCUUCUCACUGAUGAACUUGAACAAGUCUGGACUUAGGUGUCGGCUCACUAAUGAACACCUCAACUCAACACUGAAAGUAGCCAUUGCUCAAUCUCUGGCGCCAAACAUAGACGAACUUGUACAGACCAAGAGAUGCCAAGUUUCUGGGAGCAGCACGACCAGGAAUUAAGGUCCACCUACUUCUUGGUGUUGGGAGGUACGGGUGGUGACGAGAGGGAGGAAGGCUUUAUUUUGCAGUCUUACCACAUACACUACUGAUCAAAUCGAAAACUGCACACCCACGAACAGCUGACACAGCCGUGAGAAGCGAGGCUGAUCUUAGCGAAGAGCACAUCCUUUCAUUUUCAUAUGCAAGCACUUCACACGAACUGGCCGUUGUGCUCCCCCCGGCGUUUGUCAGGGAGCUGUGGACUGUGUGUGUGUGUGUGUGUGUACAAGAUUAUCCUUGUGUAGUGUAAAUAACU